CACACACGAACUUACUUGUCUGAUAGAAUGUUUAUAAAAUUCGUUUGCACCUUUUGGAAGUUUAUUACAUUCCCGUAAUAAAAACUUGUAUAACUGUUUCGGAGAAUGAAUACCUGCAUUUUUUAAUACCAUACUAGCCAUUAUCGUUGCCAAUUUUAAAGUAAUUUCGUAUAAUAUAAAAUGUCUAUUAUAUUUCACCGUAUUACAGUCACUCGUGUUGUAUCUUUGGUUGAGUCUAUUACAAUCGAGAUUGAUAAUCGAAAUCAAUGCUUUCGAUUAUCGAAAUAAGUAUAGACAAAAUUAUUCAGUAAUCUGCGCAGAGGAAUAUACUUCGAUGAAAUACUUUUAUUUAUUUUUAAGUUUCUCGCGAUUUAUUCAUUAUAUAGAUUAGUCUAAUUAACUAGAAGAACAUUAAAAAGAAGAAAAUAAAAAAAAUAAAAUAAUAUAUUAUGUACUAUUUAAUAUGUUACCUCGUAUAGGUUAUGCAAUCUAUCAAAUCGUUUCCUCUGUUAGAAUAUAAAUGAGAUUUUAUAUAUAUAUAUAGAUGUACAGUUAUCAUUUCUAUAGAAGAAAAUAAUUUGAAGUGUAUAAUGUUUCAUAUACGUCAAUAUACUCUCCGGAAUUCUAUUAAAUCCUACCAAAACUUACUACAAUGUUGGAUGCACGAUAACAUUGAACAUCCUUCAGCUGGUCUUAUUAUCAUUGGAAAUGAAAUACUCAAGGCACGCGUGAAGGAUACAAAUUCUUAUUAUGCUUGCGAUUUAUUAUAUAAAUGUGGUGUUAAGGUACAAAAAAUAUCAGUUAUAAGCGAUGAUGUAGAAGAAAUAAAGCAAGAAAUAAAAAGGUUCUCUAAAAAAUAUACUCAUGUUAUUACAUCAGGUGGUAUAGGACCAACUCACGAUGAUGUUACAUAUGAAGGUCUUGCGAAAGCUUUUGAUGAUUCGUUGCAUUAUCAUUCAAAACUUGUAGAGAUUAUAAAAGAUAAAUUUGAUGUAAAAAAUCCAACAUCACCUAAUUAUAAAAUGGCUUACAUACCAACAAAAGCUUCUUUAAUAUUUGGGGAAGGAGACAGUCUAAGAUAUCCAUGUAUAACAUUAAAGAACAUAUAUGUAUUUCCUGGAUCACCACUAUUCUUUGAAAAGUCUUUUGGAAUUUUAUGCAAGCAAUUGUUUUUAACAAAUAAGUACUUUGCAAAGGAUGAAAUAUAUUUAAAUGCGAAAGAGGAAUUAUUUGCAAAUACCUUAACAAUUCUUUCAAACAAAUUUCCAAAUGUUUCAUUUGGUUCCUAUCCUGUAAGCAAUAAUAGCUACUACAAAGCAUUCAUUACCAUAGAAAGUGACAACAUUGAAGAAACGAAAAAAGCAAAACAACAACUUUGCGAUCUUAUAGGACCAGAUAUGUUGGUGACAAAUAAUAAUGAUCCACAUAUUAAUAGCCUUACAAAAUAUAACAACUUUCUUAAUAAAUGUCAACAAUCGUUUAUAUACGAAGAGACUUUGGAAACAUUAAUGAAAAUUUAUCAUCAUCAAUCUGAGAAAAUAAUAAUUUAUUUUGAUGGUAGUAUAGAAUCGCAGAUACUUAUACAUUUUGCUUACUUGGCUAAUACAAUAUUAGGUGUAAAUGAAAAACUACAAAUUAUUUGUUUAAAAUUGUCUCCACUUUUUAAAAAUGACAAACGAUUAAUCAAAGAUAUUGUAAAAAGAUAUAAUCUAAAUAUCUACAUGUUAGAAAGCGAUGUUUCCGAUGAUAUAAAGAAAUUAAGGUCGGUAAAACCGCAAUUAGAAAUCUUAUUAGUCGGAACGGAGGAAAAGAAAUUUUGUGAAACAUUGGAAUGUCAAUCAAGAAAUGAUGAGGUUAUUGGGGAAUUAAAAAUAAACAAUCCACUAUGUAGAUGGACGCAAGAAGAUAUACGGAUAUUCGCUAAAUUUUUAUUAUUGCCCUUUGCAUGAUUUUACAAAUUCUUCGAGAUGAAAGACACGUUUUACUGAUCUCCCUUACAUAUACACUUUUAGAGCCUUGUACAUAUUUAUAAUCACGAAGGAUGAAAAUAUUUCAUUUACAGUGAAAGUACCGAUAACAGAACAGGAGAGAGGAGCAGUCAUCUCAUCGUUGCGAAUCACGCGCGACCUCGAUUUGAAAAAUCCCAAAAUGCUUCCGGCAGGUUGACGGAAGUCGUUUAAUAUUCGUAAGGGCAUGCACAGCAAGAAACACAAAAGCUUCCUACCAUUGUCUACGUGCGCUUUCAAUAUGUCUGCUCAGCCAUCCGAGCAGCGGAACUCGAAUGUACAUUGAAGAGGUAUGAGGUUCGGGGGUGGGUAUAUGGGUGAUGGUGAGGGUAAGAGCGAGGGUGAGGGAGAUAAAGAGAGAAAGAGAGAGAAAGAGAAGGAUGAAGAGG